rnacentral:misc_RNA from 1 species
UUGAAAUAAAUCUGAUGAGUUGUUGCUGGCUCUCUAGGGAGCAUGUGCACGCUUGUCAUCUUUAUAUCUCCACCUGUGCACAUUUUGUAGUCCUGGAUAUUUUUUCUGAAUGCUUGUCACUCAGGUUUGAGGAUUGACCUUCGUUUCUCUCCUUACAUUUCCAGGUCUAUGUUUCUUCAUAUAUACCCUAAUGUAUGUCAUAGAAUGUAUCUCAUGGGACUUUGUGCCUAUAAAUUUAUACAA